rnacentral:pre_miRNA from 1 species
UGAUGAGGACAACGAUGAUGAUGAUGAUGAUGAUGAUGAUGAUCACCAUCAUCAUCAUCAUCAUCAUCAUCAUCAUCAUCAUCAUCG